GACAGAGGAUGCAAGCGUUAUCCGGAAUGAUUGGGCGUAAAGAGCUCGUAGGCGGUUUGUCGCGUCUGCCGUGAAAGUCCGGGGCUCAACUCCGGAUCUGCGGUGGGUACGGGCAGACUAGAGUGAUGUAGGGGAGACUGGAAUUCCUGGUGUAGCGGUGAAAUGCGCAGAUAUCAGGAGGAACACCGAUGGCGAAGGCAGGUCUCUGGGCAUUAACUGACGCUGAGGAGCGAAAGCAUGGGGGAGCGAACAGG
rnacentral:rRNA from 1 species